rnacentral:lncRNA from 1 species
AUGGAAUCCAGCUGGGGAAUUUACCCUCCAUACCAACCAGUGGGAUGGGUCAGCCCAUCAUUGUGACGAUGCCCGAUGGACAGCAAGUAUUGAUAGUACCAGCAACAGACAUUGCUGAAGAAACUGUCAUCAGUGAAGAGCCACUAGCUAAGAGACAGUGUAUGGAAAUAAUUGAGAGCCGGGUGGAAUGUGCAAAAAUUGAAGUAAG